rnacentral:rRNA from 1 species
UAGCGUAAUUCGGAAUUACUGGGCGUAAAGCGCGCGUAGGCGGUUAAGUAAGUUAAUUGUGAAAGCCCAAAGCUCAACUUUGGAAUUGCAAUUAAAACUACUUAGCUAGAGUUUAUCAGAGGAAAGCGGAAUACAUAGUGUAGAGGUGAAAUUCGUAGAUAUUAUGUAGAACACCAGUUGCGAAGGCGGCUUUCUGGGAUAAUACUGACGCUGAGGUGCGAAAGUAUGGGUAGCGAAGAGGAUUAGAUACCCUCGUAGUCCAUACCGUAAACGAUGAUUGUUAGAUGUUGGAAAUUUAUUUUCAGUAUCACAGCUAACGCGUUAAACAAUCCGCCUGGGGAGUACGACCGCAAGGUUAAAACUCAAAUGAAUUGACGGGGACCCGCACAAGCGGUGGAGCAUGUGGUUUAAUUCGAAGCUACGCGCAGAACCUUACCAACACUUGACAUGUCUGUCGCGGAAUCCAGAGAUGGAUUCUUUCGGUUCGGCCGGACAGAACACAGGUGCUGCAUGGCU